GACGAACGCUGGCGGCGUGCUUAACACAUGCAAGUCGAGCGGUAAGGCCCUUUCGGGGGUACACGAGCGGCGAACGGGUGAGUAACACGUGGGUGACCUGCCCUCAGCUCUGGGAUAAGCCUGGGAAACCGGGUCUAAUACCGGAUAUGACUCCAUGACGCAUGUUGUGGGGUGGAAAGCCUUGUGCGGCUGAGGAUGGGCCCGCGGCCUAUCAGCUUGAUGGUGGGGUGANGGCCUACCAAGGCGACGACGGGUAGCCGGCCUGAGAGGGCGACCGGCCACACUGGGACUGAGACACGGCCCAGACUCCUACGGGAGGCAGCAGUGGGGAAUCUUGCGCAAUGGGCGAAAGCCUGACGCAGCGACGCCGCGUGAGGGAUGACGGCCU
rnacentral:rRNA from 1 species